rnacentral:ncRNA from 1 species
CCUGUAGAGCGUUACAUCAAACGCAAGUAGCUUACCUUUCGGGGUAGUCAAAGCGGACGUGAUGAUACAGGAA